CACGUAAGGUGCGAACGUUGUUCGGAAUCACUGGGCAUAAAGAGCACGUAGGCGGCUUGGUAAGUCCAAUGUGAAAUCCCUCGGCUCAACCGAGGAAUUGCAUCGGAUACUGCUGAGCUCGAGUGCGGUAGGGGAGAGUGGAAUUCCAGGUGGAGCGGUGAAAUGCGUAGAUAUCUGGAGGAACACCGGUGGCGAAAGCGACUCUCUGGACCGUAACUGACGCUGAGGUGCGAAAGCCAGGGGAGCAAACGGG
rnacentral:rRNA from 1 species